rnacentral:rRNA from 1 species
GAUGAACGCUGGCGGCGUGCCUAAUACAUGCAAGUCGAGCGAACAGACGAGGAGCUUGCUCCUCUGACGUUAGCGGCGGACGGGUGAGUAACACGUGGAUAACCUACCUAUAAGACUGGGAUAACUUCGGGAAACCGGAGCUAAUAACGGAUAAUAUAUUGAACCGCAUGGUUCAAUAGUGAAAGACGGUUUUGCUGUCACUUAUAGAUGGAUCCGCGCCGCAUUAGCUAGUUGGUAAGGUAACGGCUUACCAAGGCAACGAUGCGUAGCCGACCUGAGAGGGUGAUCGGCCACACUGGAACUGAGACACGGUCCAGACUCCUACGGGAGGCAGCAGUAGGGAAUCUUCCGCAAUGGGCGAAAGCCUGACGGAGCAACGCCGCGUGAGUGAUGAAGGUCUUCGGAUCGUAAAACUCUGUUAUUAGGGAAGAAAAAAUGUGUAAGUAACUAUGCACGUCUUGACGGUACCUAAUCAGAAAGCCACGGCUAACUACGUG